rnacentral:rRNA from 1 species
UACGAAGGGUGCUAGCGUUGUUCGGAAUCACUGGGCGUAAAGCGCGCGUAGGCGGCCAUUCAAGUCAGGGGUGAAAUCCCACAGCUUAACUGUGGAACUGCCUUUGAAACUGUAUGGCUGGAGUGUCGGAGGGGAUGGCGGAAUUGCUAAUGUAGAGGUGAAAUUCGUAGAUAUUAGCAGGAACACCGGUGGCGAAGGCGGCCAUCUGGACGACAACUGACGCUGAGGCGCGAAAGCAUGGGGAUCAAACAGG